GCAUAUCAAUAAGCGGAGGAAAAGAAAUUAACUAAGAUUGCCUCAGUAACGGCGAGUGAAGCGGCAAGAGCCCAAAAUGUAAAUCUUCACACUACGUGUGACGAAUUGUAAUCUAAAGAUGGUUCGCUCAACGGGCGGUGGCGCAGAAGUGCCUUAGAACGGGCCGCCAGAGAGGGUGACAGCCCCGUAUGUGGUGCCACUGCCUAACGAGCGGGUUAUCGAAGAGUCGGGUUGUUUUGUAUUGCAGCCCUAAGUGGGAGAUAAACUUCUUCUAAGGCUAAAUAUCUAUGGGAAACCGAUAGCGAACAAGUACUGUGAAGGAAAGAUGAAAAGAACUUUGAAAAGAGAGUCAAAAGACUUGAAAUCGUUGAGAAGGAAGCGGUAGAAAUUUAUUCUUCGGCGGAGGACGGUGGCGGCUGCCUAACCAUUGCCGGGCGUCAGUACUGCAUAAGGCUGCGUUCGGCACUUGGGGAAGCGGCCGCUUUGCCCUCC
rnacentral:rRNA from 1 species